UACGAAGGGGGCUAGCGUUGUUCGGAAUCACUGGGCGUAAAGGGCGCGUAGGCGGCCGAUCAAGUCGGGGGGUGAAAGCCUGUGGCUCAACCACAGAAUUGCCUUCGAUACUGUUUGGCUUGAAUCCGGGAGAGGGAUGCGGAAUUCCAGGUGUAGCGGUGAAAUGCGUAGAUAUCUGGAGGAACACCGGUGGCGAAGGCGGCAUCCUGGACCGGUAUUGACGCUGAGGCGCGAAAGCCAGGGGAGCAAACGGG
rnacentral:rRNA from 1 species